ACGGAGGGUGCGAGCGUUAAUCGGAAUCACUGGGCGUAAAGCGCACGUAGGCGGUGUCGUAAGUCGGAUGUGAAAGCCCUCGGCUCAACCGGGGAACUGCAUUCGAUACUGCGUUGCUUGAGUGCCGGUGAGGGUGGCGGAAUUCCAGGUGUAGGGGUGAAAUGCAUAGAUAUCUCGAGGAACACCGGUGGCGAAGGCAGCUACCUGGGCGAUAACUGACGCUGAGGCGCGAAAGCGUGGGGAUCAAACAG
rnacentral:rRNA from 1 species